GACGGAGGAUGCAAGUGUUAUCCGGAAUCACUGGGCGUAAAGCGUCUGUAGGUGGUUCAAUAAGUCAACUGUUAAAUCUUGAGGCUCAACUUCAAAAUCGCAGUCGAAACUAUUGGACUCGAGUAUGGUAGGGGUAAAGGGAAUUUCCAGUGGAGCGGUGAAAUGCGUAGAGAUUGGAAAGAACACCAAUGGCGAAAGCACUUUACUGGGCUAUUACUGACACUGAGAGACGAAAGCUAGGGUAGCAAAUGGG
rnacentral:rRNA from 1 species